rnacentral:rRNA from 1 species
CCUACGGGAGGCUGCAGUGAGGAAUAUUGGUCAAUGGGCGCAAGCCUGAACCAGCCAAGUCGCGUGAGGGAUGACGGUCCUAUGGAUUGUAAACCUCUUUUGUCGGGGAGCAAGGCCCGCCACGUGUGGCGGGAAGGAGAGUACCCGAAGAAAAAGCAUCGGCUAACUCCGUGCCAGCAGCCGCGGUAAUCCGGAGGAUGCGAGCGUUAUCCGGAUUUAUUGGGUUUAAAGGGUGCGUAGGCGGAAGGUUAAGUCAGCGGUAAAAUGUCGGUGCUCAACACCGGCCUGCCGUUGAAACUGGUCUUCUUGAGUGAGCGAGAAGUAUGCGGAAUGCGUGGUGUAGCGGUGAAAUGCAUAGAUAUCACGCAGAACUCCGAUUGCGAAGGCAGCAUACCGGCGCUCAACUGACGCUGAGGCACGAAAGCGUGGGGAUCGAACAGGAUUAGAUACCCUUGUAGUC